CUUUUAUUGAACAGGGAUGACAUCCCUUCCACUUAUUGCACAAACUUGGUAGCUUGAGACAAACAGUAGCACAGUCCAUUUGAACAUUUGUCUGAAAAGUUAGUCCGUGUUUUAGUGGCUCAGUGUCAGAGUUCCCUCCCAUCCCCCUCCUGUUGCUUCUGUGAUGCCAUGCAGGAUGAAAGGCUGAUUUCCUGACUGACCCGUCAGAGGACCAGAACACAACAGUUGGUCUAUUCAGAAAGAAUUCAACGACAGGUCAGAACUAAGCCAUGUGAGUGUGUGGCCCUGGCAUCUAUGCUAAAAAAAGUAGCUAUUGAUAAAUAGGAACAGUGAGAGCUAUUAUGUGGUUUUCUCGGCCUCCCCAGGCACACCCAGUUGCCUCGCAGACACCCCCAGCAGUGCCCCCUGCGCCCACGACCCUGACCCGGCACUGGGCACUGCGACUGUAAAGAUGUUGCUCCUGGCCACCGGGGCAUAGGUGGGACGAGGAACCUCCAGGAGCGAAACCCAGGAGAAAGUGAGGGUUCAUCAUUUCAAAACCAGAACUUCAUCAGCCCCGUGAAAACCUCAGGGCAAGUCUGACAGGCAAGCGGUCGUGUUCAGGGUGAGCCCUGCAGGGUCCCCCGGUUCCCCGGGUGAAGACAGCCUGAGUGUAUGCUGCUGGCUGCGGAAAAGUAGAGGUAGAAAGCCUGGAAGUUCUGAGAUGCAAGCGGAAUGGGUCAGACACCCCUUACACCUUGUACACUGGUCUCCAGAGCCCGUCAUCAGAAACCCAGCCUUCUCUUCAAUCUUCCACAGGGCACCCUUGAAAGCGGUGGCCCCCUCCAGCCUGCGGGGCCUCGGAGGAUCUCCAGGAGAGAUCAUUUAGGGGCCAAGGGCAGCUCUCCGGUACUAAAUAAAGCCCAGUUGCCUUGCAGAGGCUCCUCAGUACCCCCUGGGGCAUCUCCUAUGGGCUACCCAGCUACCACCCAGUUACAGAGCUGUGCUUCUCCCAACCCCCAAGCUAAUACUUCGUGUUUGACCCCCAAUUUAAGGGUGUGCUGCUAAAAGGAAGUGUUCCCUAAGCUCGCUCCUCCAGGUUCCAGGAAGCAGAUCAUUAGUUCAACAUGCUUGUUAGAGACUUGAGUGGGGCCCGAGGAGCCGCCGGCACCCUGACCAGCGCUCCGUGGUUCAGCCUGGGGUUGGUCCCCAGUUUAUUACCACGGAUGCCAACACAAGUCACGUUUGAAUCACAGUAGUGGGGAACGUGCUCAUGGUGGUGGGAUCAAUAAUCUCAGCGAGCUCGCUGAAGUGAUACACAAGGGAGACCUUGGAGAUGCAGAUUGUGGGGGUGCUGGCCCGACAGCCACCAGCUCCUCUCGGUCUUCGUGAAAACCUCAUCCUGAACCGGAAAUUCCCUCUCCCCGUCGCACCCUCCCCCGGAGGGGGGGGCCCACUCAGGGUGCUCAUGCACUUGGGGGCUCUUAGAGCAGGGUCACAGGGGAAAGUGAAGUCCCCUCCCCAGCAGGUGGGUGGUGCUCAGAGAAGAGAGAAAACGUGUGUGUGAAAAGGAGGAGGGGGGGACCCUCAAAGUCCCCUCCCCCACCCCUCCAGUGCAGAAAGUAUUAAAUACAACAAACAAGACCCACAAUUUCCUCUUUCCUGGGCCAGCUGGGUUUCAGAUAAAAGGUAGCCGCCACAGGCUGUGGUGUUUGUAGCAAAAGCCUAUGCCAAGUAAUGCUGGGUGAGGACAGCAGCAGGGGAGUGCUCAGCAUGCUCAUGAAACUGCUCUGCCACCAGGCCGCCUGGCAGCCCUCGGGACGCGCGUCAGCGCGCCCUGACGCGUCCUUCACCGGCUCUCAGGCAGUGGCGGUGGCUUCCUUGCAAUAACUCCACUCUCAACAGGAACUGGCAUUUAGCGACCCAAAGAGAAGGGGGCAUGGUUCUUCCAUCCACCGCUAACCAAGCAGAAAUCACCAAAGCACCCCAGCUGGUGAGCCAUGAGCCUUAAGACAGGUCACGUCCUCUGCCUACACACACAGGUAUAUUAGAGGUCCCUGCCAAGGGCAGCGUGGGCCUUCCAUGUCUAAGACACGCCCCCGUAGCCUUGAGUCAGCUUAUUACUACAGCCAGUCCCAUGUGCUCUACACGGUAUUUUUAAAAAAUCAGCAAAAAAGGCUUAAGCACAUGCUUCCGGGGCCUAUUUACAGUUCACAGGUUUGUGAGUUCACGCGUUACAGUAGUAGCUCCAUCAAAAACAGGCUCAGCUAAACAUUCAAGUAACAAAAGCACUACGGGGUUGUGAGCCCCAGCAAGGUCAGGCCUGCCCACUGCCUGCAAUGGGCAGUCCCACCAGGAGGCCAGGGGGAGGCCCAGGGCCACCGUGUUCUGGCUAAGGACAGCCAAGAUCUCGGGAGUCCGUGCAGGCGGUGAUGAAGCCCAGCGAGGCCAUGCUGGCAAGUGUCAAGCCUUCCUUAGCAAGCGCAUCUGUGGUUUUGCCCCUCCCCUGCCUCUCAGGGGGCUGCACACAGGCCUCGGGGUCGGGGCCCCGGCAUCCCAGCUCAGCCGUGGACUUCUGGACCAUUCGGGGUCAGCUUGGCCUUCCGCUCCACGCACGGUCCCUUGGCGGAGUAUUGCACCAGCAGGAAGGGCUCCUUGGUCUCGCCAUCCCCCACGAUGCUCUCCUCGUCUUCCGACUGGCUGAUGCGCUGCAGCCGCAGGUAGCACCAGCAGCCCAGGAUCAAGGCCCCCAGGGCCGCAAUGGCGAUGAGGAUGACGAUGACCGUGACCACACCCGUGGUGGGGCUGUGGUCCAUUAUAGACAUGGUCAGCGCCUGAGGGGGCUUCCGCAGGAGGAAGCUCGUGGGGCAGUCUGCUCAGCGAGGCUGGAACUCAGGCUGGACACGAGAGCCC
rnacentral:lncRNA from 1 species